UGAUGAGUGUUAUCCUGGACAUUACAAUUGUCACCAGGACGCUACUUGUGCAAACACAAUUGGCUCUUUCGCAUGCACAUGUAAACCUGGGUAUACAGGAAACGGAGUAAGCUGCGAAGAUAUUGAGGAAUGCUCUUCUGGAAGCAACAAUUGCCACCGGGACCAUGCUUCUUGUGCAAACACCAUUGGCUCCUUCGCAUGCACAUGUAAACCUGGGUAUACAGGAAACGGAGUAAACUGCGCAGGUAAUGAACCAACAACCGAUAUUAGUAGUUAUAAUACAUCUUGUGUGAAAUCUAUUACAUUUCGAUAUUUGAGACUACAUUUUGCAGGAAAAAACACGUAAAAUUUACUACC